GCGGUCGCCUCCCAAAAGGUAACGGAGGCGCUCAAAGGUUCUCUCAGUACGGUCGGAAAUCGUACGUAGAGUGUAAAGGCAAAAGCGAGCUUGAUUGCAAGACAUACAGGUCGAGCAAGGAUGAAAAGCGGACUUAGUGAUCCGGUGGUUCUGCGAGGAAGGGCCAUCGCCCAACGGAUAAAAGCUACCCUGGGGAUAACAGGCUUAUCUCCCGCAAGUCACAUCGACGGGGAGGUUUGGCACCUCGAUGUC
rnacentral:rRNA from 1 species